UAUUGCACAAUGGGGGAAACCCUGAUGCAGCGACGCCGCGUGAGGGAAGAAGGUUUUCGGAUUGUAAACCUCUGUCCUUGGUGACGAAAGAAGACGGUAGCCACGGAGGAAGCCACGGCUAACUACGUGCCAGCAGCCGCGGUAAUACGUAGGUGGCAAGCGUUGUCCGGAAUUACUGGGUGUAAAGGGAGCGUAGGCGGGAGGAUAAGUUGGACGUAUAAACUAUCGGCUCAACCGGUAGAGGCGUUCAAAACUGUCCUUCUUGAGUGAAGUAGAGGUAAGCGGAAUUCCUAGUGUAGCGGUGAAAUGCGUAAAUAUUAGGAGGAACACCAGUGGCGAAGGCGGCUUACUGGGCUUUAACUGACGCUGAGGCUCGAAAGCGUGGGUAGCAAACAGG
rnacentral:rRNA from 1 species